AUGGUCUUGAACUUUGUGAUUAUAAAGGCGAAGUAAUGCAAAAGUUUAAUAUAGUUCAAAGUAAUGCACUUAAGUCACUCUUCAAUGUUUCCAAACACAGCAAAAAUUAUAUUCAUUUUUUGUUUUACAUCCAAAAUGUAUCAACCUUCGACCAUAUAAACUGAUAGACUCGCCUUUACGCCUAUUAUGUAGCAAAUUGUCGAUCGAGUCAAUCGUUGAUCGAGUCAACUUUGUGGUACAAUCUCAUCUUUAAAUAUUUAGCAAUAAUUUUAUGACUACUGCACAUAGUUUAUAUGGUCGAAGGUAUCAACAAUCAUUCAACAAAAUAAGAAAUGUCACAAUCAACUAAUAGAAAAAAAUCGGGUUCAGAAUUCAAGCAUGCCAGAGAACAAAAGGUUAUGAAGAAGCAGCCAAAUCACUGACUUACAAAUUUCUUUAGAAAACUGAGAGCUACUAGAAACACUUUAGACAUAACACAAUCCAGCUGAAAGUGCUGAAAAUGUAGCACAGUAUUCGAAAAUGUAGCAAAAAAAUCAGGCAGUGAUGAUGAUAAGCUCAACAUUCUGAC